AUUGAACGCUGGCGGCAUGCUUUACACAUGCAAGUCGAACGGUAACAGGCCGCCAGGUGCUGACGAGUGGCGAACGGGUGAGUAAUGCAUCGGAACGUGCCCAGUCGUGGGGGAUAACUACUCGAAAGAGUAGCUAAUACCGCAUACGAUCUAUGGAUGAAAGCGGGGGACCGUAAGGCCUCGCGCGAUUGGAGCGGCCGAUGUCAGAUUAGGUAGUUGGUGGGGUAAAGGCUCACCAAGCCAACGAUCUGUAGCUGGUCUGAGAGGACGACCAGCCACACUGGGGCUGAGACGCGGCCCAGACUCCUACGAGAGGCAGCAGUGGGGAAUUUUGGACAAUGGGCGGAAGCCUGAUCCAGCAAUGCCGCGUGCAGGAAGAAGGCCUUCGGGUUGUAAACUGCUUUUGUACGGAGCGAAACGGCUCUGGUUAAUACCCGGGGCUAAUGACGGUACCGUAAGAAUAAGCACCGGCUAACUACGUG
rnacentral:rRNA from 1 species